UCCCCCCGCGCCGACAUGUGGGCCCACAUAGAUGUGCGAAUAGCUCCCAGGAACCUCCCCGUCCUGCAUCCUCUCUCAGGGUUUGGCCGCCGCCAUGGAACCGCCAGCCCCACCUCGGCAGCCAUGAUCCACGACUAGAGCGUGCGCGAGCGCAGACACAGGCCACAACCGAGCAUGGAGCAACGCCGCCCUCUCCAUUAGCGCCACCUGGCCACGCGCCCAUGCCCCAAUCCUGCCAGGACGCAUCACAGACUCGCCGCUUGUUACCAUUCGCCUCAGAGAUCCAGCACAGCGUGCGGUUCCUCUCUGAUUUCUUCCUGGAGGCACAUUAGAAGGUGAGAUCUCUGCUUCUGACAUUAAUCACUGGAGCACUCUCUCGGUUUCAUCCGUCAAAGACGAGGACCAAGACGAAGACCCAACAGGGUUUGCAGGGUACCAAUUCUGCUAAACUGUUACUACGUCUUGGCUUCUGGCAUAAGUGGAUGAUGGUUGACUUCAUGAUACUUUGCCUUUGAAUUAGCAGAUGCUGCUAUCUGUUAAGAGCUUCUAGGUGAAAUUACAAAUUGCCUUGAGAGUUCUUUCUCAAUAGGGUGUAGCCAUAAAUUGAAAAACAUACCUAAAUUAUUUGUUUUGUCAAGAUGACCCUGUUCAGUAGAGUUGAGUUUUUGUCUCACAAGCUGGCCAUGUUUUGUGUACAUUGAUCACGAUUCCUAGAGCUUUCAUGGAUGUUUUCUAGCAUUGCAGCCUCAAUUAUUUCAGAUUUUCAGAUUCAGAUGCAGUUUUGACAUAUGCUUUUUUUUUGCGAAAAUGUUUUGAUAUAUGCUUGAAUGAAUGAAAUCUGGCAAAAGGCAUACACUUUUCUUGUUUUGUUAGUUGUAUAGAUAAAAUCAAUGGGUUAUUUGUGAACAAAGAAAAGUGCAUAUUUAUGAAUGAUAAUAUAUUUAUGAAAAGUACAUGGCUAUGCGUUGAACACUUGAAUUAGCUAAUCCCUCCCUAUUGUUUAAUUCAAGUAAUUUUCUCCCAUUUCCAGUAAACUGCACUUUUUUCAUUCUUGUUUAGAACAGUUGAGAUAGUUCUGUAAAUUAACCUUCCCAAACAACUCUACUAUUAUGGUGAUUAAAUUAAAUUUAUUACUUUACAGCUUUACAUGGAUGUUAUAUUCUCUACUAAUACUAAGUUUAUGGUGAUUAAACUUUAUAGUAGCAAAGUUUUUUAGAAUUUUCAAUCCCUUUGAAUUUCAUAUUGCAUUGGCCAUCAACUCAGUUAAUUUCUUUUUUUUUUCACUGCAUCUCUUGUAAAUUUACUUAUUUUGAGAAGACCAGCAAUGUGUGCUUACCUGUUUCUGAAUCCACAAUGCAGUAGCAGACAAGUUUGAUGAGGUCCAGUAAUUGGACUUCAGCUGGGCACUGCUUGUGCAUUUAAAAUUAGAUUUUUGUUUAUUGAAAAAACAUGAACAACCAUUUGUCAGCAGAUUCUGCUCUGCUUUCGUAACAAAGGUAACUCAGAUCUGUUUUUUUCAUGGCUGAUAGCUUUGUAUGAUAGAUGGAAUGAAAUAUGGUAUCUCAAUUCCUUACAUGAUCUACUAUGCUUGAACUGCUAGAACUUGAAGGCCAAAUAUGCUAUAAAUUAAAUAUGGUUUUUUCUUCUCAUGUCCCAUUAUUUGAGUUCCAAUAAAAGACACUUCUGGCUGCUACAAUUAAGCUUCUACGUAAGCAGAACUAAAUUUCAGUAUUCAGACAUGGCAUUGUUCUUCCAUCCAGAGUAAAUUAAAUUCAGUCCGCAUUCAACAUUGCUGGCAUCAAUUGGUCUGCAAGCUGAUCAUCAUGUUUGGAUUUCUUAUGGUCAUUUCUUGUUCUUUAAAAUGUAUGCUUCUAAUAAAUGGGCAUAUGCUCACAUGUGAGAGUUUCAGAUCCAGCAUUUUAGGAAUUUUAGUCACUAAUCUAUGGCGAGCUUAUGGCAUUAGAUGAUCUAACUUGAUCUUUUGUUAGACUGACCUUGUUGAUAAUUUUAUUUAGCACAGAUCUAUGCAUGGGAUGCCAUCCGCAAGCACCGUCACCUCCCGUCCCUGUCUGGUUGUCUGUCUGGCGCUUGUGGUGGAGGCCGAGACUGCAACUGCGCAAUGGAGGACGAUGGUAUCCCCAUGGUGGACCUGCUGUCACUGUGCGACCACCACGACCCUUAUGGCCUUCGAGCUUAGGUGAAUUCAUGAUCGGUCUGGUCAGGAUUUCGCUACUGUUGCUGCUCGAGUAAACGGACUACGUUCGGACUAUGAUGACGGAACCUGGCCAUUGUGCCGCCGCUACACCCAAUUUGAUAUGUACAAGGUUAUUGCUUAGCCACAGGCCACAGCCUCACAAGGUGUUUUUUUUUUGUCGAAUCACUCUUGGCAUUCCUGAACAAGGAAUUGUUUGUUUUUUCUGCAUGUUUUUGUCUAGAUGAUAAACAUGUGCAAGUUGGUUGUACACGCUGCAUACAUAACAAAGAAAGUAAGCUUUGCUAUCCAGAUGUCUAGGAAAUUAGAUUAAUAAUGCAAGUGUGAAAAAAAUUGACAA